rnacentral:rRNA from 1 species
GAGUUGUUGCUGGCCUCUAGGGGCAUGUGCACGCUUCACUAGUCUUUCAACCACCUGUGAACUUUUGAUAGAUCUGUGAAGUCGUCUCUCAAGUCGUCAGACUUGGUUGCUGGGAUUUAAACGUCUCGGUGUGACUACGCAGUCUAUUUACUUACACACCCCAAAUGUAUGUCUACGAAUGUCAUUUAAUGGGCCUUGUGCCUUUAAACCAUAAUACAACUUUCAACAACGGAUCUCUUGGCUCUCGCAUCGAUGAAGAACGCAGCGAAAUGCGAUAAGUAAUGUGAAUUGCAGAAUUCAGUGAAUCAUCGAAUCUUUGAACGCACCUUGCGCCCCUUGGUAUUCCGAGGGGCAUGCCUGUUUGAGUGUCAUUAAAUUCUCAAACUCACUUUGGUUUCUUUCCAAUUGUGAUGUUUGGAUUGUUGGGGGCUGCUGGCCUUGACAGGUCGGCUCCUCUUAAAUGCAUUAGCAGGACUUCUCAUUGCCUCUGCGCAUGAUGUGAUAAUUAUCACUCAUCAAUAGCACGCAUGAAUAGAGUCCAGCUCUCUAAUCGUCCGCAAGGACAAUUUGACAAUUUGACCUCAAAUCAGGUAGGACUACCCGCUGAACUUAGCAUAUCAAUAAGCGGAGGAAAAGAAACUAA